CUUCCGGUUCUAGUUCAGCGAAGUAUGAGUCACGUGAUCAUCCACCAGCUGAGAGGAUCUGUGGGUUAUAUGAGACAAUCCCCUUCCGCCCCAAACAGGAAAGGUUAGAAUCCUGAGAACUGUUUGGAAUAAGGAAUCCAAAUAUUGUCUUCCAGCUUCACCUUGUCACGACAGUCCUCGCCAGGGACAGCUGAGCAUCUACAUCUCCAUUUAUGCCGUGUGCACGCAGUACCAACAGAGGUCAGAGGAGGGUGUCGGAUCCCCUGGAACUGGAGUCACAGAUUCUUAGGGAGAAACAUAAGGACUAGCAUCUGACUCAUGUAUGGGCUCAGCAUCUACAUGGAGCACUUUGGAAGCAAAGAAGUCAUUUUUGAGCGAUUCCGCCUGGAUCUUUCUAAUCACAUCCCACCAUAAAUUCUGAGAACUACAUGGUAACAUCCAAACUGGUGAAGAUAGGCACACUUUUGUGGUAGGACAAAGAGAAAAUCAAGCCGGAACUGAUCCCCAAACUUCUCUGCUAGCAAGCUUUCCUAGUGCCAGAAGGUGAAUGCAGGAUGCUGGGGAGAAAAGUCGAUGGCCUUGCUGAGUGAUGACUGGAUGCUGCACACAUACUUCCAGGUACCACUUGUACCCAGUGGUAUAAUGGUGGCAUGAAGGUUACUGGGGUAACCAAACACUCUUUGAUCAGAUCUAUCGUCUCUCCCAAAGAGGGGAAUUCACGCCUGAUACCAUGAACCCGAUCAAAACCCCAUGACUGAGGAGAUCAUUGGCCCUAUGGGAGAAACCACUACUGUUGUUUUUCUUUUCCCUCUCUCUGUUUUGUAAUUUUUAAUGAUGGAAACAAAAA
rnacentral:lncRNA from 1 species